GAUGAAGAACGUAGCGAAAUGCGAUAAGUAGUGUGAAUUGCAGAAUUCAGUGAAUCAUCGAAUCUUUGAACGCACAUUGCGCCCCUUGGUAUUCCAUGGGGCAUGCCUGUUCGAGCGUCAUUUGUACCUUCAAGCUUUGCUUGGUGUUGGGUGUUUGUCUCGCCUUUGCGUGUAGACUCGCCUUAAAAUAAUUGGCAGCCGGCGUAUUGAUUUCGGAGCGCAGUACAUCUCGCGCUUUGCACUCAUAACGACAGCGUCAAAAGGUACAUUUUACACUCUUGACCUCGGAUCAGGUAGGGAUACCCGCUGAACUCAAGCAUAUCAAUAAGCGGAGGA
rnacentral:misc_RNA from 1 species